AUGGACAAGGACGGCAUCCUCUGUUGCCACAUCCUCAAGGUGUUCAUCCAUGUUGGAGUUGAUGUCAUACCGGAAAGGUACCUCCUAAGACGGUGGACACCUACUGUUGUACCUAGUGUGCCAGGGACUGGUUAUGAGCAACCAGAUGAAAUGCCUCCUCAAUCAAAGAAACAGAUAAGUGAGAGGAACAUGAUAUACAAUUUUCGGAAACUAGCAAAGUUUACGAGUGGUUCUGAUCCAGCACAAGCUAUUGUAUACAAGCAUAUGCGUGCAGCACGUACCGAGAUCAGCCACCUGAACAAGUUCAAGAAAAAGAAAAAACCGACUGCUGCAACGGGGCCAUCAGAUGAUGGCAACCCUCGAGGACCUCCUCCACCUCCAGGCAGCAAUCAGGGGGCUCAUCAUCCAGUUCUGAAUAUAGGUGAUGUCAACCCUCAAGCACCUCCUCCCCUUCCUGGCUGUACACGGCAUCCUCCGCCACCUCCUCCCCCACGUGCUCCUCCCAAUGGCCCUACAGGCAGCACUCAGGGGGCUCAUCGUCCAGGUGAUGCCAACCCUCAAAGACCUCCUCCUCUGCCAGGCCCAACUAGCAGUGCUCUUUGUGCUACUCCCAAUGGACAUACAGGUAGGACUCAGGGGACUCAUCACCCAGGUUAG
rnacentral:rRNA from 1 species